CCUACGGGGGGCUGCAGUGAGGGAUUUUCGGCAAUGGGCGCAAGCCUGACCGAGCAACGCCGCGUGCGGGAUGACGCCCUUCGGGGUGUAAACCGCUUUUCCCGGGGACGAAGAUGACGGUACCCGGGGAAUCAGCCUCGGCUAACUACGUGCCAGCAGCCGCGGUAAGACGUAGGAGGCGAGCGUUGUCCGGAGUCACUGGGCGUAAAGGGCGCGUAGGCGGCCACGCGCGCCGGGGGUGAAAGGCCGCGGCUCAACCGCGGGACGGCCUCCGGGACGGCGUGGCUGGGGGGCGGCAGGGGCGGGCGGAAUUCCCGGUGUAGUGGUGAAAUGCGUAGAUAUCGGGAGGAACACCCGCAGCGAAGGCGGCCCGCUGGGCCGACCCCGACGCUGAGGCGCGAAGGCCAGGGGAGCGAACGGGCUUAGAUACCCUGGUAGUC
rnacentral:rRNA from 1 species